GUGGCUCAGUGGUAGAGGAUCCACCUUACAUGCAGAAGGUCCCAGGUUCAAUCCUGAGCAUCUCCA